CUGGAGGAGUAUGUGAGAAUUCAUACAAGUAUAUAUUUAGUCUCAUAUUAAUUAUUUACUGAGAAAAUCUUAGAUACUUAUAUAAGACCAAGGAACCUAAAUGAUACUUUCUAGUUAAUCUUUUUGGAUGAGAUCCUGGAUUGUUACAGAAACGAACCCCCUCGACAAGAGAUCCACUUCACCACUAUUAAUUACCACAACAAU
rnacentral:lncRNA from 1 species